UACGUAGGGUGCAAGCGUUAAUCGGAAUUACUGGGCGUAAAGCGUGCGCAGGCGGUUUGCUAAGACCGAUGUGAAAUCCCCGGGCUUAACCUGGGAACUGCAUUGGUGACUGGCAAGCUAGAGUGUGGCAGAGGGGGGUAGAAUUCCACGUGUAGCAGUGAAAUGCGUAGAGAUGUGGAGGAAUACCGAUGGCGAAGGCAGCCCCCUGGGCCAACACUGACGCUCAUGCACGAAAGCGUGGGGAGCAGACAGG
rnacentral:rRNA from 1 species